GACGAACGCUGGCGGCGUGCUUAACACAUGCAAGUCGAACGGAAAGGCCCUGCUUUUGUGGGGUGCUCGAGUGGCGAACGGGUGAGUAACACGUGAGUAACCUGCCCUUGACUUUGGGAUAACUUCAGGAAACUGGGGCUAAUACCGGAUAGGAGCUCCUGCUACAUGGUGGGGGUUGGAAAGUUUCGGCGGUUGGGGAUGGACUCGCGGCUUAUCAGCUUGUUGGUGGGGUAGUGGCUUACCAAGGCUUUGACGGGUAGCCGGCCUGAGAGGGUGACCGGCCACAUUGGGACUGAGGUACGGCCCAGACUCCUACGGGAGGCAGCAGUGGGGAAUAUUGCACAAUGGGCGGAAGCCUGAUGCAGCAACGCCGCGUGCGGGAUGACGGCCUUCGGGUUGUAAACCGCUUUCGCCCGUGACGAAGCGUGAGUGACGGUAAUGGGUAAAGAAGCACCGGCUAACUACGUG
rnacentral:rRNA from 1 species